rnacentral:rRNA from 1 species
AGGAUGAACGCUGGCGGCGUGCUUAACACAUGCAAGUCAAGGGGGCCCGAGGCGCAAGCCUUGGGCAACCGGCGAACGGGUGCGUAACACGUGAGCAACCUACCGAAUUGUGGGGGAUAGCCGGCCCAACGGCCGGGUAAUACCGCAUACGCUCGAGACCAGGCAUUUGGACUCGAGGAAAUUUACGGAGCAAUUCGAGGGGCUCGCGGCCUAUCAGCUAGUUGGUGAGGUAACGGCUCACCAAGGCGACGACGGGUAG